rnacentral:rRNA from 1 species
UACGGAGGGUGCAAGCGUUAUCCGGAUUCACUGGGUUUAAAGGGUGCGUAGGUGGAUUAGUAAGUCAGUGGUGAAAUCUCCGGGCUUAACCCGGAAACUGCCAUUGAUACUAUAGAUCUUGAAUUUUCUGGAGGUAAGCGGAAUAUGUCAUGUAGCGGUGAAAUGCUUAGAUAUGACAUAGAACACCAAUUGCGAAGGCAGCUUGCUACAGGGAUAUUGACACUGAGGCACGAAAGCGUGGGGAUCAAACAGG